CUGGCUCAGGACGAACGCUGGCGGCGUGCCUAAUACAUGCAAGUCGAACGAACUCUGGUAUUGAUUGGUGCUUGCAUCAUGAUUUACAUUUGAGUGAGUGGCGAACUGGUGAGUAACACGUGGGAAACCUGCCCAGAAGCGGGGGAUAACACCUGGAAACAGAUGCUAAUACCGCAUAACAACUURGACCGCAUGGUCCGAGYUUGAAAGAUGGCUUCGGCUAUCACUUUUGGAUGGUCCCGCGGCGUAUUAGCUAGAUGGUGRGGUAAYGGCUCACCAUGGCAAUGAUACGUAGCCGACCUGAGAGGGUAAUCGGCCACAUUGGGACUGAGACACGGCCCAAACUCCUACGGGAGGCAGCAGUAGGGAAUCUUCCACAAUGGACGAAAGUCUGAUGGAGCAACGCCGCGUGAGUGAAGAAGGGUUUCGGCUCGUAAAACUCUGUUGUUAAAGAAGAACAUAUCUGAGAGUAACUGUUCAGGUAUUGACGGUAUUUAACCAGAAAGCCACGGCUAACUACGUGCCAGCAGCCGCGGUAAUACGUAGGUGGCAAGCGUUGUCCGGAUUUAUUGGGCGUAAAGCGAGCGCAGGCGGUUUUUUAAGUCUGAUGUGAAAGCCUUCGGCUCAACCGAAGAAGUGCAUCGGAAACUGGGAAACUUGAGUGCAGAAGAGGACAGUGGAACUCCAUGUGUAGCGGUGAAAUGCGUAGAUAUAUGGAAGAACACCAGUGGCGAAGGCGGCUGUCUGGUCUGUAACUGACGCUGAGGCUCGAAAGUAUGGGUAGCAAACAGGAUUAGAUACCCUGGUAGUCCAUACCGUAAACGAUGAAUGCUAAGUGUUGGAGGGUUUCCGCCCUUCAGUGCUGCAGCUAACGCAUUAAGCAUUCCGCCUGGGGAGUACGGCCGCAAGGCUGAAACUCAAAGGAAUUGACGGGGGCCCGCACAAGCGGUGGAGCAUGUGGUUUAAUUCGAAGCUACGCGAAGAACCUUACCAGGUCUUGACAUACUAUGCAAAUCUAAGAGAUUAGACGUUCCCUUCGGGGACAUGGAUACAGGUGGUGCAUGGUUGUCGUCAGCUCGUGUCGUGAGAUGUUGGGUUAAGUCCCGCAACGAGCGCAACCCUUAUUAUCAGUUGCCAGCAUUAAGUUGGGCACUCUGGUGAGACUGCCGGUGACAAACCGGAGGAAGGUGGGGAUGACGUCAAAUCAUCAUGCCCCUUAUGACCUGGGCUACACACGUGCUACAAUGGAUGGUACAACGAGUUGCGAACUCGCGAGAGUAAGCUAAUCUCUUAAAGCCAUUCUCAGUUCGGAUUGUAGGCUGCAACUCGCCUACAUGAAGUCGGAAUCGCUAGUAAUCGCGGAUCAGCAUGCCGCGGUGAAUACGUUCCCGGGCCUUGUACACACCGCCCGUCACACCAUGAGAGUUUGUAACACCCAAAGUCGGUGGGGUAACCUUUUAGGAACCAGCCGCNUAAGGUG
rnacentral:rRNA from 1 species